rnacentral:rRNA from 1 species
GAUGAACGCUGGCGGCGUGCCUAAUACAUGCCAGUCGAGCGAACGGACGAGAAGCUUGCUUCUCUGAUGUUAGCGGUGGACGGGUGAGUAACACGUGGAUAACCUACCUAUAAGACUGGGAUAACUUCGGGAAACCGGAGCUAAUACCGGAUGAUAUUUUGAACCGCAUGGUUCAAAAGUGAAAGACGGUCUUGCUGUCACUUAUAGAUGGAUCCGCGCUGCAUUAGCUAGUUGGUAAGGUAACGGCUUACCAAGGCAACGAUGCAUAGCCGACCUGAGAGGGUGAUCGGCCACACUGGAACUGAGACUCGGUCCAGACUCCUACGGGAGGCAGCAGUAGGGAAUCUUCCGCAAUGGGCGAAAGCCUGACGGAGCAACGCCGCGUGAGUGAUGAAGGUCUUCGGAUCGUAAAACUCUGUUAUUAGGGAAGAACAUAUGUGUAAGUAACUGUGCACAUCUUGACGGUACCUAAUCAGAAAGCCACGGCUAACUACGUG